CCUGCGAGUAGCCGAAGAAUCCGGUACAACAUCUUUCUCUGACAAGUAGAUAACAUUCUUAACAGGACUGUCGAUACCUCCACCACUGGGAACAUCCAGAAGUUCAAGUUCAUCUGAUGGUAGGAGCUUCAAACAAGCUGAUGAUGAUAUCCAAAAUUGCUCAUCAUGAACUCACUAGAGAAAUGGAAAUGUGAAAUCAAUAAAGACGAAGAAGUCAGAUGAUUAAAACAACUUACGUUCUCUUACGCCGUCAACCAUUCG
rnacentral:lncRNA from 1 species